AACCCUACAGUUAUUUUUCGCACAAGGACAGACCAGGAACGCGUCGCUACGCCGCGGCGAUGUCUUGCCGGGACGUGGCGUAGUGCACGUCGUCGACGCUGACGUUGAGGAUGAUGCGCUGGUAGGACGACGCGCGGGCGUGUUCCGUGAGCAGCAGCCGGCACGCCCCGAGCCGGGCGCACAGGCCGAACGCCUCCGACACGGACGGUCUGGUCAGGUCUGUGACAGAGACGACACAGCACUGCACUACCACCGGCAUCCGGCCUCUUCCAAUCAUUGGAAAUAAUUUAAUAUAUAUUUACUUUUUUUUUUAAAAUUAUAAAUCAAACUAUAUGUACAAUACUUUUACAAAAUAAUUUACUUUAACCCAUUGAUGCACUUAUGUGCCUUGACAGAUUAUAGUUCUGAUUAAUUACAAAUUGUAAAACUCUACACAGACGAUUACCAAUUCAGUUGGCAAAUAUCACAUGCAUAUUCAGUAAAAUAAGGUCUCUCGACAAUAAAUGAUGUUGGUGUAUCUUAUUUACAAGUUCUUGAACAAAAAAACGAAUACAUAGGUAACAUUCUGAAGACCAAGCGUUGGCUGUGAGACUCACUGUCGAUGAGGCACAGGGUGCACAGCUGCUGGUACACUUGGCUGAACACAGUCUCCUCGACCCCCGUGCGAGACACCUCCGCCGCCGUGGCCCGGAGGAAGGCCUGCUCCAGCACGCUGCAGCUCCUGAGACACAGCCAUCACAUCACGCACCGUCUGUCGCUAAGACACGGCAGCGACCAUAGUAAUAUACAAGAAGUAGCAGUUAAAACACCAGAGAAAAUCCAUGUAUUUGAGUAUUACGUCGAUCACGGGCCCCAGUUCUUUAAUUUUUAUCGGCCAGUUUUCUUUUGUUUAGUGUUAGCAAUUGUCGUCGUGUGUGCGGCCGGACGUGGCGAAGCAACUGUCCUGCCCGGCUGUACGAGGAGCAGACGCGAGACGCGUGACCGCUCAGCGUGGUUGUGGGAGGCAGUACCCCGGGUAGCCACCCCUCCUGCCCGGGGCGAGUGCCACUGCAGCGACAGCACGGUGCAGGGGGCAGCAGGUAGCUGGGGCCAGACCGCUGGUCUCGACGAGCGAGCCUAUCAGAGAAAAGUGUGGCGGCCUGAGGCCAGACGAUGAAGGGGGUCGGGCAAGUUUUGAGCCUUGAGCAGUUUUAACUGUAAACUUGUCUGGUAGUUAACUUUGUUUGCGUUUUUCGUAAAGCUAUAUUUUAUCUUUGGAAUUUUGACACAGUUUAGAAUUUUAUUGAAUUUUAAAACUUAUAUAUUUUUCUUUGUUGAUGGCUGUAGAGUGACUGAAAUUUUUUUAAUGUUUUAACUAUCAGUCUUUUAGCUCAUGUUGAUCACAUUUUUGCCUUUUUGCAUCAAAGUUCCUAAGUAAACUUUUAAAUAUUUAAAAGUUGGUAGUGUUAAAGUAUUUAUUAAGUGGUUUGUUUAUUUUGUUUGAUGACUGAAAGUUAAUUUUCUUUAUCCAGACUUGUGUUUAUGAGCACUGUAUGUUGUUGUUUACAGUGAACCACUUUUUUUUUUAAUAAAUAAAAGCAUGGGUUGUGGUUUAGAAAGAAAAAAGGAACGGGUAGCUUCUUAUUUCUAUUACUAGUAGACAGACACAGGAAAAAUUCGCAGAUUCAUUUUGCAUUAUGCUAGAAUCCAAAUGCAUGUAUCUUUAUAUUGCUACUGUGAUUGGCUAACAGUUUAUCUGAAGGACUAUGGGCCAAUGAAAAACCUUCAACCAAAGAAGUAUCGAAUAGCAAGCAUCCCAGUUGAUAGGUCUCACAAGUCAGUAGCCAAUGAGCAGGUGGCAUUUGCUUUGUUCGCACCUAUAUGUCAUUUUACUAAAUUUACUAGUGUAUAUAUGGUUGAAAUAAAUUUGAUAAACAAAUUGAUAUAAUUACUUUACCCACUGAUACAUCUUUUGUUUGCCUGUGUAAGGUAGGUUUCAGUGUUUAACUCACACUAGACACUCUUAAUCCAUAACAGAAUGGAUUCCACCUUUAAUGACGAUAUGUUUUCCCGUCUUGCCUAGCGCCGUUUGCAGGCGGUUCGAACCCGGGUGCCGAGCAGGCUUCAAAGUGACGAACAUGGAGCUGAUGACGUGUCGUGGGUGAACUGAUGACAUGCCAGUACCUGAUGGCCUGGAUCUUGGGCGAAGUUAUCAUCUCCUGCAGCACCUGGCUGACGUGGUCCAUGGAGACCGUCUCGCUGCACGAAGACGAGAUCUCUGUGGCUCGCCUGCACAUGUCCAGCGCCCGCCGAGCGUCCCCCGACACUGCUGCCACCUUGCUGGAACCACACAGGUCCACCGAACUAACUCCGAGCACAGCCGAUUUAUUAACAAGCGAGUAUCGUCUCUUUAACGAUAAAAUGAAAAAAAUUAUUUUAAAAUUAAUCAAUACUUCACCAUCAUCAUUAGAAAUAUUAGUAGAAAAACUGUAGUUGAUUUACUAAAGUAUGCGAGGUUCAUGCAUAUUUUUUUACUCGCAGAUAAAUUUAUCUUACAAAACACAACUGUUUGAGGAACUUAUUUUUCCUGACGAAAGCAAUAUUAACUGAUGAAAUUCCUGACACUCACUGACCCAGAGCUAGCUGCAGUUGUGGACGCAGCGCGGCGGGCGGGGCUCACUCACCGAGCUACCAGCUGGACUGCAUCCGGGUCGAACGCAUCCAGGCCCUGCAGUCGCGACAUCACAAUCUUCUGCAACUGCACGUCCAUCGUGUUGGCGAUGGUGAUGACCACCAGGUGCGCCGUGCUGUAGUUGGGCCAGUCGAGCAGGUUGUACACCACGUCCUGGCGACGCGUGCACAGGAGAUCCAACUGCAACAAGGCACGGUGCGGCAACUUGGAGUUGGCUUGGCCUCUGUCCAUUUAUUUACUUACCUAGAUGUUUACAUUCAUUUAAUACUAAUUGUUGACCAUAAUUUUGUUAAAGUUUGUAUUAGCUUUUCAUUUGUUGUAUUUCAAACAUAUCUUACAGUGCCAUUUGACAGUCUCACACGGCGCAAGUUUGUUUUUGCACGUGAGCAUCGCAGUGACGAGAAGCAGGUCGAGACAGCAGAGAGCAGUAGGCUAGCAGCGGCUGUUCACGGUAAAACAGCAUUGCAUAGUUUGAGUAAUUUUCCUAAUUUGCAUACUACUGAACCAGAGCAAAAUUAUAAUUUUUGUUAAGCAGUAGACAAACUCAGGCAUAUUGUAUAACUCACAAAACCUAACCCGGCACUCACACAUGGAGUCAUCCGUAACGUAACCCUAGCCACAUGAGUAACACGCCUCCGUGGAAAAGUCGAGAGACCUCCUGUGUUUACGUUCAUAUUGCUUGUCGCAUUAGCAGCGACGGUCACUGAGUUGUACUUGUGCUCUGAUUGGAUACGCGUAUUGCUUAUCAUGAAUGUAUCCAUGGUCACAACACAAGCGUUGCAUUUAUUAUUGCACCACAAAUCAUUUACUACUAACUAUUGAUCUGCAACAAAUUUUAAAAAAAUCAGAUUAAAGUUACUGUGUGUACUUGGUUUUAUAGCCUUCACACUGCUGAAAUGAUUUCAAACUAACAUUUUUUAAAAUAUUAAUAUAAAACUUAAAAAAUUAACUCACAACUAUACAUAAAAAUAUUAAAAAUACAUAUAAUUAAAUUUCUAAAUUGAAUACGUUCAUUAAAUAAAAAUUUCUAGUGGUGCACCGAUGCGGAUACCGAUGAAUCGUAAUCGGCGAUUAUUGGUACUUUCCGAUUAAUUGUAAACGGCGAUUAUCUUAACGAUUACUUUGCCGAUUAUCUACGUCCCGGCGUAAUUAAGUAGGUUUUUACCGUGUAAUAUUUUGUUACUCAAUUUAGGAUGAAAUACGGUAAUAUUUGUUUAUAUCACAAAAUUCAUCUAACUCCAUCAUAUGAUUACAGAUAUUUAGUUAAGUUUAAUAAAUCUCAUUGCCUCAAACAAUAAAAAGUACAUUUUUCCUACACGUUUAUUUACGUUUCGUCUUUUGUUCUGAUUUUUGUUUAGUGGCCUUGUACAUUACCUAUAGCCAGAGACGUAAAAUAGAUGGCACGCAAUCAAAAUACCACAAGCAGUUGCAGUGGAUUCUAUGACAAUCGAUCUUUUCGAGUCGUAGUAGCGGUUCAAAAUCGUGGUCCCGAUACCUUCUAGAGUUCAUCACUGCGUUUUACAAACUCAUUAUGGGUAUCUUUGGUAACAUUAUCCGUUGUUGUGUUAUUUAUAUGUGACGUAAAAAGUGGAAACGUAUUUAUAAUUUGAUAUAUUCAGUCAACAUAAAUAAAAUCACAUGUGCUAGCAUUGGUUUUGAGUCAUUUUUUUUUAUAAUUAUAGUGAAAUGGCGAGUACGGAGAAAAAAAGUGAAGUGUGGAAACAUUUUUCUAUAAACUCAAGUGAACAAAAUAAAGCAACAUGUUUACAUUGUUAAACGGUAAUUUCUCGAUGCAACCUUAUGUGAUAGUCGAUAAUAAUGCUAGUUUUCCGCAACAAAAGCUUACCCAUUGUAAAUUACAAUUAUUAGACUGUAGUUCAAGUUGUUUGCAAUAACAAAUAUAAAUAGAAGUUAAUUUAAUUUACACUUUGCAAUGACUUAAUAGUGUAUUUUAUAUACUUUUGUACUGUUAUUAUAACUGUAUUCUCAAUUUUACCUAAUCUUGUUAUUAAAUUCACAUGGGAAUAAAAUUUUUGUGUGCAUUAUUACACUCAAAGAAAUUUGUUCAUUAUAAUCGGUAACUGAAUCGGUAUCUGCCGAUUAUUGCUCUCAUAAUCGGUAAUCGAAUCGGUAAUCGGUAAAGUCAUAUCGGUGCACCACUAAAAAUUUCUUCAGCAUCAGUAUGCUUGGAUGCUCCUCUGCGUCGAGAUACCUCGUCAACGACCAGGAGCGUCAUGGUGCGUCUUGGUGCCGGGGUCUUGAACCUCUUCUCGAGGAUCUGCUGAGCCUGCUCCGCCUUCAGCUUCUGUCCCGUCAGCUGCAGCAGGAUCUCCGCGUACACCUGGCUGGGCCUCGUCAGCUGCAUGCCGUUCACCUCCACCAGCUGCCCACACACACACACACACAGACCUCCAACCCCAGCCUUCAACACUAGAACAAUUACAAAACAUUGUGUUCAAGUGUUAGAUUAAAUAGGAACUAAAAACUAUCAAAAGAAAUGCUGAAAGGAAAAAGUAUUUUAAUGUUUGUAUUCAUAUUCGAUAACUAUUCUAUAUUUGUACUUGAACUUGAUUCACUCGCACAGGCCAGCUUCAACACGGGACACAUGCCGGGUGAACAGCACCUUGAACUGAGGCAGCUCGCCGGCACGGACCGCGCCGCGCAGGUAGCCGAGCACUUCACGGACCGUGGCUGUCUUCCCCGUGCCGGGCACGCCGCUGAUGUACAUGCACCUGGGCACACACACGGCCGUUAGUGCACGCCUCCUUCACCCCGACAACUGUCAACACUCGGUUACAACCGCUUUCCCUCACACACUCCACACACUCACGCCACUGCACUAACCACUUCCUUCGAAACUGUAGUAAGUAACAGCAAUGUAGACAAAAAAAAUGAAACAAAAUUUGACAAAUACACUUUGACAAAAAUUUAGCAAUACUAAGCACAGUAAUGUGAAUUCUCUGCACAAUGAGCUGAUUGGUCAUGCUGCAAUUUGUUUUUAUUCUGAGUACAGCUUUGCUUCUAUAAAAAUUUCUUUUCCGUAUUUAAUUAUGAAAUUGUACUUGUCUUUAUAAAGUGGGCAAUGUUAUUUUCAGAAGCAGGAUAAAUUUGAAAAAUAAGGGGGGGGAAAAAUAUAAGAGCAGAUAUUAUUAAUACUUUGAUAGUAAAGGAGUGUUUGCUGACAGGCUACAAUAGUUCCACAGCAUUAUGUAAAACACAGCUGGACUUCCACCAGAACAGGCAAAUUUUUUUAACAAGGUUUCUGUUACGAAUAGCUUGCAUCAGUCCCCGUCCCAACUCUAGCGUGUAGACUACGCUACGAGCAGGUAGCACAUGUUGAGCCAAUUGUAGCAAGCCGUAAGUGCAACAGCGUGAGUAUAGGUGGUUGAAAAAAAAUUAAUAAUAUAAAUAUAUAAAUGUUUUUUUUUAUGUACAAUAUCUUACUCUACUACUGUACAUAAACAAAACAGUAAUCAAAUCAGCAGCAACCAAUCUGAUAUAAGAAAUAACACGUCUUUUUUUUUUUCUGAUUACAUAAACUUCCAGCCUGGCAGUACUUAGCAAAGUAAGUGUCUACAAAGUGAGCUCGGAAAGCUAUGUGACUGGCGCGAGAAUGCAGGAAUAAACGGAGAGGCUCGCUCGGCCUGCGACUCACCCUCCCACGCUGUCCAGCACCUUGGAGCGCAGGAACUGGCAGAUGCUGCGGAACUCCUCCUCGCGGCACGGCAGCUCCUGCGGCACGGCCGAGACGUGCAGGCGCGAGCGUGCCUCCUCCAGCACCGUGGAGGGGGUCGACACGGAGCACUUGCGCUGCGGCAUGCCGGGCGUGUGGUCCCUCGACGCAGCCUGCAUGCCGGCACCAGCAUUACGCUACCUCCGGCUUGACCUGCUCCCGAGACGUCAUCUCUUACUUUAGGUGUCGACUGCUUCGUGACGUCGUCGCUGUCGCUGUCUUCGUCACUGUCCGUCACUCUGCGUUGCCGCAGCUCGAAGUCCAGCCCCAGUGCCCGCCUGGCCUGGCGCGAGCCCGGUGACCUCUUCUUGCCGACGGACGGCGUGGACCGCUCCUCCCGGCGACCCCCGCCCGCUUCAGCAACGGGACCCCUCAGUCCGUGUCCCGUCUUCCCGGCGGAGGACUGGUGCGUCCCGGGUGCGACCCCGGCGCUCCUGCUGCUGCUUCCCGGGGAGGAACGAGACAGCCGUCUCCUUCGACGCUUGCUGUGAGAGCUGGACUUGAUGAGCUCAUCGCCGCUGUCACCGCUGUCUGAACUAGCACUCUGCAGUCCAGUUAUUCUAUCAGGACUCAGCAGUUUCUUUUUCUCUGUCGGAAUAAAACAUGUACGAUGUGCAUUAACAUUUGAAAUAAACAACACACUUUAUAUAUUUACUAGCUGCAGUACCCGGGCUGAACACAGGGUGAUAUAUUGUCCGCAAGUUAAGGCAAAAUGGAUAGCGCUUUUAAGACAGUGUGGUAGACAUAGAGAAAUGACACACAAUUUCUGUUUGUAUGUCUAUGACCUAUAAUUUUCUGUUUACUCAUUGAGAUCUGCAUUAUUUCUCGUAAAAAGUAAAGAAUAAAAAAUGGUUAUUGUGGGUUAUCCCUAAGAGACUUUUUUGUAGACAAUACUGUAGUACAUUAUUUUGAUCUAUCUCGUAGGGUUCAGCCAGCAUUUGCAAUGUAAGUGCAAAAAAAUGUGUUUAUUUACGACAUCACAUUAGAAACCUCUAAAAUUAUCAGUGUUUCUCUACUAUAUUAUGCAUGUAUUAUACUUAUGAACCUUCCUCUUGAAUCACUCUAUGUAUUAAAAAAAAGCAUCAAAAUCAGUUGCGUAGUUUUAAAGAUCUAAGCAUACAUAGGGACAGACAGACAGAGGAACGCAACUUUGUUUUAUACUAUGUAGUGAUACUAAAACUUAUGAAUAGAGAUUACAAUUUGACACAAACAAGUAACAAACCUAUACCACAGUAAAUAUUAAGAUGAUUAAUAUUUAGUGUAUUUACUAAUUGCUCAUUUGUCUUAUUCAAAUGACUGGUUAAGUGUACAGAUGUAACAAUUCCCUACUUUGGUUAUAGUAUAUACAAAAACAUAAAUAAGUUUCUUACAAUUGAAUCUAUAAAAGAAACUGCAUGUGAAUUGAGAUGUGAUCUCAUCAGUUCUAUUAGUUUUAAAUCAAAUUUAAGUUAGCUAAAGUUCAGAAUAAAAUUUUAAGUUUUUGAAUCCUCCUACGUUCAAAAAAAAAAAAACCUUUCGAUACAUCCUAUAGAUGUAAAAAAAUUUUGAAGAACUUAUUUGUUCUGGAUAAUGUUCUGGAAACUUCAAUAAACUGUUUAACAAUUUAAAAACAUAAUGUAAUUUUUGUUGAUAUCCCAUGCAGUAAAAAUAUUUUUAAUGAUUUUCACUCAAUGCAUUCAGCAUUAAAUAGCUAAAAACAAUUUUUCUAUUAUGCCUACCAAGGUAGUAGUGAAUUUUUUGAUCAAACAAUUUUUUAUUCCUUGUACUAAUACGUGGGUGGGCAUAUAAAAAUUGAACACAUAUGAUAGUAAGGAAGUGUACAUAUUUUUUAAUUACAACCCUCUCUGUUUUUACGGUAACAAUUCUUGUAAUCAAAAAUUGCUUCAGAGUUCAGACCAAUGUUUUAGAUAGUUUUUAGAAGUUUUGCAAUCAAUUAUUAUAUAUUCUAUACUUUACAUACUAAGGAAUUUAUGAAUUUUUUUUGUCCUUCGCCCCUUGUUUCUAUUCCACCCUUUGCUAUAAUUGUUGGUCGAAUAAAAAAAAAAAUUUCGGAAAAAAGUUAUAGAUAAUCUUUUAUGGUUCAACAUAAAAAAAAAACAGAUUGGACUUAAUGGUGUACAUGGUACGAAAAUUAUUUUUUAUUUUAUUUUACCUGUUUUUUUUUUUAAACCCCUAGCUUCAAUGUUUUGUUUUAUCAAAAAACAGUUUAGGCAAAAGUUUUACAUAAAAUUUAUAUGAUUUACAAACAAUUUUAACGGAUUCGAUAGUGUUAUUAUUUUAGGGGCUUAUUAUUAUUUUUUUUUCGACCCAUGUUUUCUUCCAACCCCUUGUUAUAAUGGUUGGUUGUGUAAAAAAAAUAUUAUGAACAAAAGUUGUUGUCACAGCGAGACUCACUUCGACAGACUGUUCCCUGUAGUGAUCUGUACUCGCAGCUCAUGUGCUGACUGGAGGUGCAGUGAAUGUGUUCAGUUUUAAAUAUGACCAGCAGAGCGGUGUAACCAGCACUCACAGCUGUGUCUAGCAUCUUUGAACUUUCAAUACUUAUAAGGAAACUGUGAGGAACAUAGUGUGUAGUAGAAUAAACUAACAAUAAAGUUUUAAAUUGUCAUUGGUGUAGGUGUCUCAGAUUCUGUCUAGUUUUAAGCCUUACAUAAUAAAUGCAUUUGCUAUCUACUGAUAAAUACAAUUCUGAUAUUUCUGAGUGGUUUCAAAUUUAUAUUUUAAUGCCAGUAAUGAUCAACACCUAUUUAUGGCUCUAAACAAUUCUUGUAUUCCUUUAAC